rnacentral:rRNA from 1 species
GACGAACGCUGGAGGCGUGCUUAACACAUGCAAGUCGAACGAUGAAAUGGAGCUUGCUCCAUGGAUUAGUGGCGAACGGGUGAGUAACACGUGAAUAACCUGCCCUUAAUUUUGGAAUAACCCAGGGAAACCUGGGCUAAUACCGGAUAAGUAAACCUGUGGCAUCACAUGGUUUUGGAAAGUUUUUCGAUUAAGGAUGGAUUCGCGGCCUAUCAGCUUGUUGGUGAGGUAAUGGCUCACCAAGGCGACGACGGGUAGCCGGCCUGAGAGGGUGAACGGCCACACUGGGACUGAGACACGGCCCAGACUCCGACGGGAGGCAGCAGUGGGGAAUAUUGCUCAAUGGACGAAAGUCUGACGCAGCGACGCCUCGUGAGGGACGGAGGUCUUCGGAUUGUAAACCUCUUUCAGCAGGGACGAAGCGAAAGUGACGGUACCUGCAGAAGAAGCACCGGCUAACUAUGUGCCAGCCGCCGCAGUAA